rnacentral:sRNA from 1 species
CACCAUCACCAUCAUCCUGACUAGUCUUUCAGGCGAUGUGUGCUGGAAGACAUUCAGAUCUUCCAGUGGUGCAUGAACGUAUGAAAAAGCCCCCGGAAGAUCAUCUUCCGGGGGCUUUUUUU